AUCAUAUAUCACUUAUAUUAUAUUAUAUUAUAUUAUAUUACAUUACAUUACAUAACGUUACAUUACAUUACAUUAUAUUGCAUUAUAUUAUAUCACAUCACAUCAUAUCACAACAUAUAUAUUAUAUAAUAUUAUAUGACAUUCUAUCACAUAUGAUAUUAUAUCACAUUAUAUAUAUCACAUCAUAUCAUAUCAUGUCAUGCUAUAUUAAAACUGUACUAAGGAAUAGAGAAAGGAUACUGACAGAAGUCUUAACAAGAUAAUGAUGAUGAAAUAAUAAUGAUGAUGAAAACUCCUGAUUCUCUCCAGAGUCUGACACAGCUGGAUUGUGAUUGGUCAUUAACUCAAAACAAUUCACUUGUUGGAUAAACAGUCUCCAACCUCACUCCAAAGCAGCAAAGCACAGGAGAAGCAAAUGGGACAAUGUUGGUUUCCUUUUNGAAAAAAGGGGAAAAUGAGGAAAACUGGUGGAAGAGACUGACACCCACCUGUCCCCAAGCUCCCUCCAGGAAGGUGUAGAGAGCAAUAAGGGCACCUCUGAGCCUCCUCUUCUCCAGGCUCCUGGUAAAACACCUCACAAAAGUGGCAUUUUACUAGAAAAAGAAGAGAACAAAGAACCUAAUGGCUUUGAGGUGAAGUCCUCCAGGCCUAUGAGGCGCCUUUUUCACCUAAUCAAGGAGAGAAACUUGUGGGUUUCUUUCCUUUUUAAGGGGACAAAGGAUGGUGACAGGGGACACAUUCCUACAUUGCUCCUGCCCCACUGUGCUGGUUGUUCUCCCUCCUUUCCCCCAGAGAAGUGCCUGUCCUGAGGACAGUGACACGUGAGUUUGAGGGGAAGUCCCCCAGGAUUCUGAGAUCCCUUUUCACCUCAUCAAGGAGAGAAACUUGUGGGUUUCUUUCCUUUUUAAGGGGACAAAGGAUAAGGGGGCACAUUCCUACAUUGCUCCUGCCCCACUGUGCUGGUUGUUCUUCCUCCUUUCCCCCAGAGAAGCACCUGAAGCUUAAAUUUGAGGUGAAUUCCUCCAGACCUGUGAGAUGCCUUUUUCACCUAAUAGAGGAGAGAAACUUUGGGGUUUCUUCCCUUUUUAAGGGGACAAAGGAUGGUUUUGUCACAAAGUGACAGGGUGCUGGUUGUUCUCCCCCCUUUCCCCCAGAGAAGUGCCUGUCCUGAGGACAGUGACACUUGAGUUUGAGGUGAAGUCCCUCAGGAUUCUGAGAUCCCUUUUCACCUCAUCAAGGAGAGAAACCUGUGGGGUUUUUUCCCUUUUCAAGGGGACAGAGAUGGUUGUGUCCCACGGCUCCGGCCCCACUGUGCUGUUG
rnacentral:lncRNA from 1 species